AAAAAUUUAGUUAAAUAAUAACAUUAGCUUGUCAAGCUGAAAUCGCUCACAGGGCAAUUUUUA
rnacentral:tRNA from 1 species